CAUUCUAUUUUCCGACGAAUCACGGUUUACAAAUAAUGGCAUGUUUAAUAAGCAGAAUUGUCGGUACUGGACCCAACAAAAUCAACAUGCAAUGAGAGAGGGCAAUUUUCAAGAAAGGUUUGGCGUCAAUGUCUGGGCUGGUAUCGUUGGAAACAGAAUAAUUGGUCCAAUAUUGUUUCAAGGUCAGUUAACAGGGGUUAGAUACUUGGGUUUUCUUCAAAAUGAAAUCGAGGAUCAUCUUAAUGAUAUGCCUUUAGAAGUUUUACGGCAAAUUUACUUCCAGCAAGAUGGAGCACCGCCCCAUAAUAGCAGAGACGUACUUGAUUUUUUAAUAGAGCAUUUUAAUAAUAGAGUUAUUGCAACCAACGGUCCAGUACGGUGGCCUGCCCGCUCACCGGAUCUGACUGUGUUAGAUUUCUUCAUUUGGGGAUAUGUAAAAGAAAGGGUCUACUAUGCAACAGCCCCAGCCACUCUCGAAAUCUUAGAAGAAAGGAUUCAACAGGCAUUUAGAAGUAUAUCGCCUCAAAUGUUACAAAACGUGUUGAGAGAAACAAUUGAACGAGCUGAAAUGUGUCUUGAACAAGGAGGGAUGCACUUUGAAAAUUUACUAUAGUGGAAUUUUCAAGAACUUAGGAUAUUGCAAAAAAUCUAAGUGCAUCGCUGAAAUUAUUAGUUAAAUUUGUUAAAUUUGUUGAUCCAAUCGCAAAUAAAUUAGUAACGUUAGA